rnacentral:rRNA from 1 species
ACAAGGUGGAAAGUUAAGUCGUAACAAGGUUUCCGUAGGUGAACCUGCGGAAGGAUCAUUAC